rnacentral:rRNA from 1 species
UACGUAGGGGGCUAGCGUUGUCCGGAAUCACUGGGCGUAAAGCGCGCGUAGGCGGUUUGUUAAGUGGGAUGUGAAAUCCCCGGGCUUAACCUGGGAAUUGCAUUUCAAACUGGCCGACUAGAGUACGGUAGAGGGAGGUAGAAUUUCCUGUGUAGCGGUGAAAUGCGUAGAUAUAGGAAGGAAUACCAGUGGCGAAGGCGGCCUCCUGGAUCGAUACUGACGCUGAGGCGCGAAAGCGUGGGGAGCAAACAGG